AUGACUUCUCAUGUCAUCUCACGAUAAUAAAUAAACACCUCAUUGCAUUUGUGAUUUAAUGGAAAAAACAUUACACACUUCUGUUUUUUUGACAUUUAGUAAAUAUUGGUAAAGUUUGGAACAAAUGACCAAUGGAAAAGUGACUAGUUUGCAUGU